UGAAGAGGUCUCUGCUCUUCAAGUACUCAAGGGCUUUGUGAUAGGAAUCGUCAGAAGAAAUCCAUGCAGGGUAAGUGACCUUGCUCAGUUGAAAGGUUUAAGGAAAUUGAGCAUAAGAAUAGGGAAUGAAGCUUUAGCAGAAGGGGAGUUUUCAAACUUGAAGGACUUCAAGGCUCUUCAAAUUCUUGUGAUAUCUUGGGAAAUAGUUUUGUCGCAGUCGAGUACAGAAGCUGCUCUGAGGUCAUUCUCAGUCCCACCAAAUCUAAAGAAACUUGAUCUCAGAUGUAUCCCUCUAGUGACCUGGCCUGAAUGGUUAGAGCCUGGCAGAUUGAUAUCUUUGGAAAAACUUUACAUCAGGGGAGGUGAACUCAGCAGCAUAGAGCGCCAUGAUGAAAAAAGUUGGAAAGUUAAAAUUUUACGUUUGAAGUAUCUGAAGAACUUGAAAAUUGACGAGCCAGAAUUAUGAUUAAUGUUUCCUGAGAUGGAGUACUUGGAGAAAGUCAAAUGCAACAAGAUUGGUCGAGAUGAAUAUGAUCCAGAUAUCACAUGGAACAAAAAGCAGCAUGAGCAAUUGUAGCAACUACUUGAGUCUCAAACUGCUCCAGACUCUCCAUGCGCUAAGUGUUUGCAUGGUGUAAUUUGAGGCAAAGUUUGACGCGAUGCCCAUUUAAUGCUGUGAUUGAUCUUGUUCAUGGCUUGCUCCCAGUGGUGACUCAGAUCAGGGGAAAAAAGCUUUAUGUUUUAUGGAUCCAUUUUCCGGGCUUUUCAAUUUUCCUUUUGCAUUAGAAUUUCUCUACUGUUGCAGGCUCCUGGAAGUUAACCAUAUCUGGAAGUGAAUGCAAUUGCAGCUGCCUAAUCUGCCUUGUAGUUUGUAAUAGGCUAUUUAUGAAAAAGUAUGAGGCCUGAUUUAACUGUAUAUUUGCAUUAUUUACCUGAGACAAUGUGGAAUUUGACAUUCAUCAAUCAUCUUGAUCAGACUUGCAUCACAAA